GCUCAGGAUGGGUCCUGGCUCCUGGGGCUGUCUCGCUAGUAGUUAUCUGGGUCCGCAUCCUGCCAGCUCUGCUUCCUGCCUUAAUCUUAGGCCAGCCACUGAGUGUCUUGGAGUAUCUCCGUGUCCCAUGUGUGAAGUGAUAGUACGGAGAUCCAACCAGCUCUCAUGGACCGAGACCGGGCUGUCUGUACUCUGGCCCCCUCCGGCUUCCCUGCCCUGAGUUCUCCACGCAGAAGGUGAAAACAGUGUACAGAGACCAUCAGUACGAUUUCACCAUGUUGGUGCAGUACCUGAGGAGACCUGAAGAAGGCAUUGGAUUCCCUUAGAGCUGAAGUUACAGAUGAUACACCCAAAGCCACCUGCUCAGUGGUUGUACCACCCACAAUGGGCUGGACUCUCUCAUAUCCAUCGUCAAUCAAUGGUGAGUCCUGCAGGCUUCCACAGGUCAGUCUGGUGGGGCAUUUUCCUUUUCUUUUCUCUUCCUUUAUUUUUUUUCUCACGAGACAGGGUUUCUCUGUGUAGCUUUGGAGCCUGUCCUGGAACUCAUU